GGGCGUUUAGCUCAGUUGGUUAGAGCGCUACCCUUACAAGGUAGAAGUCACUGGUUCGAGUCCAGUAACGCCCACCA
rnacentral:tRNA from 1 species